rnacentral:lncRNA from 1 species
ACCUAAAGCAAAAAGAAGAAAAAAGACAAUCCCAGCAGCAAAAGGACCCAACAUUAUUCUAUCAUUUAACACCAACUCCUUCGAUCACAGCUACCGUACCAACUGCCCCAUGGGGAAUGAUCUGCAGAUAAAUACAUUACUUAAAAAACUUAUUUUUCUAUAAUAAAAUAAAUUUUAAUUCAUUAAAUUAUAAUAAAUAUAUAGCCUAUGGCUAUGAUUUAGCCAUUUUAAAUUUCAUUUUAUUAAACAGUAACUAUUCGUUAAAAUUUUUAUUGAGAGCCCAUGAAUUUUGAAUGAAUGAGUCUUGAGUAACUCUAGUCAUCCAUACAAUAACUUAAGGAAUAAGUGAAAAUAAGAUUUCCAAUGAACUAAUAUUGUUUUCUUUAUGGAAAACUCAUGAUUAAAUAUUGUCUCCUCUGGCGGAGCUAAGGGGACCACUCCCGGUUCCUUAAAUUAAAAAUUCUUUUAUUUAACUUUUUUUAUAAUUUAUAAAAUUAUAUCUCACCAAACAAUCAGGCUGUCGUCAAAGUAAAAAAACGAAAAGAUAGAAAUAAAAAUUCCUUAACAUUAUAUGCUUUAUAAAAAUGCUAGAAAGAGAAGAGAAAUGAACGUUUUUAACAUCAUACAUAUCGAAUAAUCUAGGGAAGUUGUAAAUCAACUUCGGCCUCCGCAGAGAUAGUAGCAAGAGGAUUUGAAGUGACAGUGGGACGGUUUCGUCGUUUGAUGCAAUCAAACACGAGCUUGAACAGAAAAAGAACGGAGAUGCCGGCAAGCUGGAUCAAUGCCAUGAUUUUGGUGUCACCUUCCAUGUUCAUAUCCCCAGAAAAACCCAACGAAAAUCUUGAUGAUGAAGAAUUCUUAGAAAAUUCCAUUGCUUUUCAGAGCUUAUUAGGUUAAGAAAGAAAUACGUGAAUCUCAGGGAAUAAUAAGAAGUCCUUGUUUUACCUAAGCAA